GUGACAGAGACACUAGGAGUAAGCCAUAUCUGAGAACUCAAGAAGACAAAAGGCAGAACCAGGGCAUCUUCUCAUUAGGCAGCAGAAGCCUUGGCUCUGCUUUGCUGUCAAGAACAGAGUUCCAGUUCUUGAAGACUGAAGGACGGAUUGACAGGUUUACUCCUCAUUGUUUGGAUGGAUUAUUCAACUGCCCCACAGCUCUUUUGCCGUGGAACUGCUUCUCUGUAGACCUGUUGCCAAGAUUCCGCAAAUGAACCCAAGCACCAAGCAAUUGCUGUAGGCCUCUUCCUGAAAUCUUCUCGUUAGUAGUUCCUUGGACUUGUCUAGGAGAGAUGUACAACUAAAAAAGAAACCACAAACAGAAGAGCAGAGAAGUCGUCUUACGGGAAACCCUGAGAAUCUGCAGUUUUGAUUAUAUUCCUGUGAAAUGGCCUUUUUGCAGCGUUGUUAUAUUCUGCAGAGAACGCUACUAAGAUUUAUUCUCUACUUAAAUGGAGAAGGUUUGGCUAUUUUCCUGCAUGGCGUUUUAGAUGGUUGAAUCUUCUUGCUUCUGGAAGUCUUUACAGCUUCUGGAAGUCUUUACAUAACCCUACAAUGCUCUCAACCUCCUCUGAAGAGUCCCUAUCUUUAUGAAUUGCCAAAUAAACUAGUUUGUGCUGACUGAUUCCUUUUUUAGAAUUUGAAUUGCAUUCCUCCUUCUACCUGAAACCUCGGUGUACA
rnacentral:lncRNA from 1 species